rnacentral:rRNA from 1 species
AGAUUGAACGCUGGCGGCAUGCCUUACACAUGCAAGUCGAACGGUAGAGUAGCAAUACUCGAGAGUGGCGAACGGGUGAGUAAUAUAUCGGAACGUGCCCGAGUCGGUGGGGGAUAACGUAGAGAAAUUUCGCUAAUACCGCAUACGAUCUACGGAUAGGAAAGCGGGGGUAUCGCAAGAACCUCGCGCGUAUUGGAGCGGCUGAUAUCGAGUAUUUAGGUUGUUGGUAGGAAGGUAAAAACGCUC